rnacentral:rRNA from 1 species
CCUACGGGAGGCAGCAGUGGGGAAUUUUGGACAAUGGGCGCAAGCCUGAUCCAGCAAUGCCGCGUGAGUGAAGAAGGCCUUCGGGUUGUAAAGCUCUUUUGUCAGGGAAGAAACGGUGGAGGCUAAUAUCCUUUGCUAAUGACGGUACCUGAAGAAUAAGCACCGGCUAACUACGUGCCAGCAGCCGCGGUAAUACGUAGGGUGCAAGCGUUAAUCGGAAUUACUGGGCGUAAAGCGUGCGCAGGCGGUUUUGUAAGUUUGUCGUGAAAUCCCCGGGCUCAACCUGGGAAUGGCGAUGAAGACUGCAAGGCUAGAAUCUGGCAGAGGGGGGUAGAAUUCCACGUGUAGCAGUGAAAUGCGUAGAGAUGUGGAGGAACACCGAUGGCGAAGGCAGCCCCCUGGGUCAAGAUUGACGCUCAUGCACGAAAGCGUGGGGAGCAAACAGGAUUAGAUACCCUGGUAGUCCACGCCCUAAACGAUGUCUACUAGUUGUCGGGUUUUAAUAACUUGGUAACGCAGCCAACGCGUGAAGUAGACCGCCUGGGGAGUACGGUCGCAAGAUUAAAACGCAAAGAUAGUGACGNGNGAGAGACGACGACGACGACGACGGAGGAGGAGG